UCCUGCUCAAGCUCUCCCCAAGGCAGUUCAACUGAGUGCCAAGUUCAAAAACACCAAAACAGUUCACAGCUUUCACUCUACUCAGUUCCCGAGAGUCAAUCCAAGUAUGUGGAGGAGCCACGGACCCAACUUGAAGAAAGCAUUUCACAACUGCGAAAUCACUGCAAGCCAUAUACAAGUUGGUGUCAGGAAACAUACUCCCAAACUAAGCCCAAGAUGCAAAGUUUGGUUCAAUUGGGGUUAGACAGCUAUGAAUAUCUCCAACAUGCCCCUCCUGGGUUUUUCCCAAGACUUGGUGUUAUCGGUCUCGCUGGCCUUGUUGGACUCCUUCUGGCUAACGGUUCAAAAAUAAAGAAGCUGGUGUAUCCACCUGGUUUCAUGGGAUUAGCUGCCUCUAUAUAUUAUCCACAACAAGCCAUAUUUGUCUAGGUCGGUGGGGAGAAAUUAUAUGACUGGGGUUUGCGAGGAUACAUAGUUGUAGAAGAUUUGUGGAAGGGGAACUUUCAAAAGCCAGGAAAUGUGAAGAAUUCACCUGGAAAUAAGUAGAAAACUCCAUGCUCUGCCCAUUUUAAUCAGAUAUAGGUAAACAUUGGAAACUCCCCAUACAGUAAAUCAAUUAUUUCUACAGACAAAUGGCAGAGAAGUCAGUAUUGAAUGUAUUAAACUGGCAUUCUUCAUCAGGAAAAACUAUACUAGGCCUCUUUUAUCUUGGGUGAUAUUAUCCUAUAAGCAAACUAAUCUGAAAUCCUGUCACCUAGAGAUAAUGUAUAAGCCUUAGAAUUCUUCAUGCUCAUGUUGCUAUUUAUGUACAUAAUUAAAAUCCAAGUU